UAAUGAAAGAAGAUCUGGUGUAGUAAAUACUACAGAUGAUGGCUCAGAAAAUAAAAACUUUAUUAAGUGUUAUAGGUGUGGUAAAUUUGGGGACAUCAAGAGGAAUUGUAAAGUCAAGAUUUCCAAAGUAAAUGUUGCAAGUGAAAGUGAAUAAAAACAACUUAAAUGGGAGCAAUGCUUCACCAUAGAAGAUGUUGAAGGUAGAGACGAAAAAUCAA